AAAAGAUAUUAAGGGCCAUAGGUGGAUGCCUUGGCUAGUAGAGGCGAUGAAAGACGUAUUAGGCUGCGAUAAGCCUCGGGGAGCUGCCAAAAAGCUUUGAUCCGGGGAUUUCUGAAUGGGGCGACCCAGCAUGGAGUGAUUCAUGUUACUACUUCGGUAGGGCGAACUCAGGGAAGUGAAACAUCUCAGUACCUGAAGGAAAAGAAAUCAAACGAGAUUCCCAAAGUAGCGGCGAGCGAAAUGGGAUUAGGGCAUAUAGUGAUAAUAUAUUUGUUAGCAGAAGAAUUUGGAAAGAUUCAGCAAAGAGGGUGAUACUCCCGUAAGCGAAAACAUUUAUAUGAUACUAGGCUAUAGAACGAGUAGGUCGGGACACGUGUUAUCUUGACUGAAUAUGGGGGGACCACCCUCCAACCCUAAAUACUACUACUAGACCGAUAGCGAACAAGUACCGUGAGGGAAAGGUGAAAAGAACCGCGGUGAGCGGAGUGAAAUAGAACCUGAAACCAUCUGCCUACAAUCAUUCAGAGCCCUAUGUCUUCGGACAGGGUGAUGGACUGCCUUUUGCAUAAUGAGCCUGCGAGUUAUGGUGACUAGCAAGGUUAAUCAAACGAGAAGCCGUAGCGAAAGCGAGUCUUAAUAGGGCGAAUAGUUAGUUGCUGUAGACCCGAAACUAAGUGAUCUAUCCAUGGGCAGGUUGAAGCUGGUGUAAGAGCUAGUGGAGGACCGAACGGGUGAAGGUUUAAAACUUCUCCGAUGACCUGUGGAUAGGGGUGAAAGGCCAAUCAAACUUAGUGAUAGCUGGUUCUCUCCGAAAUAUAUUUAGGUAUAGCGUCAUGUUCGAAACAUGAGGGGGUAGAGCACUGAUUGGGCUAGGGCCUAUACCAAGGUACCAAACCCAGUCAAACUCCGAAUACCUCAUGUGAAUUCAUGGCAGUCAGGCAUAGGGUGAUAAAAUCCUAGGUCGAAAGGGAAACAGCCCAGACUACCAGCUAAGGUCCCAAAGUUCUAUUUAAGUGGAAAAGGAUGUGGAGUUGCUUAGACAACCAGGAGGUUGGCUUAGAAGCAGCCAUCCUUUAAAGAAAGCGUAACAGCUCACUGGUCGAGCGGGGGAGCGCCGAAAAUAUAACGGGGCUAAAGCCAUCCGCCGAAGUCGUAGACUCUAGAGUGGAUCUAGAGUGGUAGGAGAGCGUUGAUGACGGCGUAGAAGCUGUACCGGUGAGGAGCAGUGGAGCGUCAUCAAGUGAGCAUGCAGGCAUGAGUAGCGAUAAAGUGGGUGAGAAUCCCACUCGCCGAAAGCCUAAGGUUUCCUACACGAUGCUCGUCAGUGUAGGGUUAGUCGGGACCUAAGACGAGGCCGAGAGGCGUAGUCGAUGGGAAAACGGUUAAUAUUCCGUUACCUACUAACAGCGAGGCGAAGGGGGGACGCCUAGGGUUAGCCGAGGUCACUGAUGGAAUAGUGGCUCGAAGGGUGUAGGAGGAGUGGUAGGCAAAUCCGCCACUCGAAACUCCGAGACCUGACAGGCUCCUGAAGCUCUUCGGAGCGGAGGGAGAAUCGGUGAUACCGUCGGGCCGAGAAAAGCCUCUAAGCCGUUUGAGCUGUUAGUAGCCCGUACCGCAAACCGACACAGGUAGGCGGGAUGAGUAUUCUAAGGCGCGUGGAAGAACCCUCCCUAAGGAACUCGGCAAACUGGCACCGUAACUUCGGGAUAAGGUGUGCCCCGAGUAGGUGAAGGGACUAGCUCCUGGAGCCGAAAGGGGUCGCAGCGCAGCGCUCUUGCCGACUGUUUACCAAAAACACAGCACUCUGCUAACUCGUAAGAGGAAGUAUAGGGUGUGACGCCUGCCCGGUGCCGGAAGGUUAAGGGGAUCCGUUAGCCGAAAGGCGAAGCGGUGAACCGAAGCCCCGGUAAACGGCGGCCGUAACUAUAACGGUCCUAAGGUAGCGAAAUUCCUUGUCGGGUAAG
rnacentral:rRNA from 1 species